rnacentral:rRNA from 1 species
GUUAGAAUGUGUAGUGUAGCGGUGAAAUGCAUAGAUAUUACACAGAAUACCGAUUGCGAAGGCAGAUUACUAACAAUAUACUGACGCUGAGGGACGAAAGCGUGGGUAGCGAACAGGAUUAGAUACCCUGGUAGUCCACGCCGUAACGAUGGAUACUAGCUGUUC